rnacentral:rRNA from 1 species
GAUGAACGCUGGCGGCGUGCCUAAUACAUGCAAGUCGAGCGAACAGACGAGGAGCUUGCUCCUCUGACGUUAGCGGCGGACGGGUGAGUAACACGUGGAUAACCUACCUAUAAGACUGGGAUAACUUCGGGAAACCGGAGCUAAUACCGGAUAAUAUAUUGAACCGCAUGGUUCAAUAGUGAAAGACGGUUUUGCUGUCACUUAUAGAUGGAUCCGCGCCGCAUUAGCUAGUUGGUAAGGUAACGGCUUACCAAGGCAAUGAUGCGUAGCCGACCUGAGAGGGUGAUCGGCCACACUGGAACUGAGACACGGUCCAGACUCCUACGGGAGGCAGCAGUAGGGAAUCUUCCGCAAAGGGCGAAAGCCUGACGGAGCAACGCCGCGUGAGUGAUGAAGGUCUUCGGAUCGUAAAACUCUGUUAUUAGGGGAGAACAAAUGUGUAAGUAACUAUGCACGUCUUGACGGUACCUAAUCAGAAAGCCACGGCUAACUACGUG